CAUGCAGUCGAGGGGCAGCAUUGGAGUAGCAAUACUUCAGAUGGCGACCGGCGCACCGGUGAGUAACACGUAUCCAACCUGCCGAUAACUCGGGGAUAGCCUUUCGAAAGAAAGAUUAAUACCCGAUAGUAUAAUGAAACCGCAUGGUCUUAUUAUUAAAGAAUUUCGGUUAUCGAUGGGGAUGCGUUCCAUUAGGCAGUUGGUGAGGUAACGGCUCACCAAACCUUCGAUGGAUAGGGGUUCUGAGAGGAAGGUCCCCCACAUUGGAACUGAGACACGGUCCAAACUCCUACGGGAGGCAGCAGUGAGGAAUAUUGGUCAAUGGGCGCAGGCCUGAACCAGCCAAGUAGCGUGAAGGAUGACUGCCCUAUGGGUUGUAAACUUCUUUUAUAUGGGAAUAAAGUGGUCCACGUGUGGAUUUUUGUAUGUACCAUAUGAAUAAGGAUCGGCUAACUCCGUGCCAGCAGCCGCGGUAAUACGGAGGAUCCGAGCGUUAUCCGGAUUUAUUGGGUUUAAAGGGAGCGUAGGUGGACAGUUAAGUCAGUUGUGAAAGUUUGCGGCUCAACCGUAAAAUUGCAGUUGAUACUGGCUGUCUUGAGUACAGUAGAGGUGGGCGGAAUUCGUGGUGUAGCGGUGAAAUGCUUAGAUAUCACGAAGAACUCCGAUUGCGAAGGCAGCUCACUGGACUGCAACUGACACUGAUGCUCGAAAGUGUGCGUAUCAAACAGGAUUAGAUACCCUGGCUAGUCCACACAGUAAACGAUGAAUACUCGCUGUUUGCGAUAUACAGUAAGCGGCGAGCGCAAGCAUUAAGUAUUCCACCUGGGGAGUACGCCGGCAACGGUGAAACUCAAAGGAAUGACGG
rnacentral:rRNA from 1 species